UACGGAGGGUGCAAGCGUUGCUCGGAAUUAUUGGGCGUAAAGGGUAGGUAGGUGGUCUCAUUUGUCUGGGGUGAAAGCCUUGAGCUUAACUCGAGAAGUGCCCCCAGAAACGGUGAGACUGGAGUCCUGGAGAGGGUCGUGGAAUUCCCGGUGUAGCGGUGAAAUGCGUAGAGAUCGGGAGGAACACCGGUGGCGAAGGCGGUUCUCUGGGCCUUACCUGACGCUGAGGAGCGAAAGCGUGGGGAGCGAACAGG
rnacentral:rRNA from 1 species